rnacentral:rRNA from 1 species
GGAUUAGAUACCCUGGUAGUCCACGCCGUAAACGAUGUCAACUAGCCGUUGGUCUUAUUAAAAAGAUUAGUGGCGCAGCAAACGCGAUAAGUUGACCGCCUGGGGAGUACGGUCGCAAGACUAAAACUCAAAUGAAUUGACGGGGGCCCGCACAAGCGGUGGAGCAUGUGGUUUAAUUCGAUGCAACGCGAAGAACCUUACCAUCCCUUGACAUCCUCAGAACUUGUAAGAGAUUACUUGGUGCCUUCGGGAACUGAGUGACAGGUGCUGCAUGGCUGUCGUCAGCUCGUGCCG